rnacentral:rRNA from 1 species
AUACCGGGCCUUUUUGGGCUUGGUAAUUGGAAUGAGGGAGAGUUAAACGGACCAUCGAGUAUCCAUUGGAGGGCAAGUCUGGUGCCAGCAGCUGCGGUAAUACCAGCUCCAAUAGCGUAUAUUAAAGUUGUUGCAGUUAAAAAGCUCGUAGUUGGACUUGUGUGCGCUGUCCGCGGGUGGCCUGCGCCCAAAAGGGCGUUUCGGUUCGGCCCCGGUGGCGCCUUGAAAUCUGCAGCUGGGGGGACGUUGGCCUUAACUGGUCGGCGACCGCACGCCGGCUGCUCGGUUACUGUGAGAAAAUUAGAGUGUUCAAGGCAGGCAUUGGGUGCAAUUGAAUACAUUAGCAUGGAAUAAUAAAAUAUGGCUCCUGCCGUAUUUUGUUGGUUUUGACUGGUGGGAGUAAUGAUUGAUAGGGACGGUUGGGGGUGCUAGUAUUGAGCGGCCAGAGGUGAAAUUCAUGGAUUCGCUCAAGACUAACUUAUGCGAAAGCAUUCACCAAGGACGUCCUCUUUAAUCAAGAACGAAAGUUGGGGGAUCGAAGACGAUCAGAUACCGUCGUAGUCUCAACCAUAAACUAUGUCGACUUGGGAUCGGCGGUAGUUUUUUCAUUAAGACACUGUCGGGACCACGGGAGAAAUCAAAGUGUCUGGACUCUGGGGGAAGUAUGGUCGCAAGGCUGAAACUUGAAGGAAUUGACGGAAGGGCACCACCAGGAGUGGAGCCUGCGGCUUAAUUUGACCCAACACGGGGAAACUUACCAGGUCCAGAGAUGUAGAGGAUUGACAGAUUGAAGCUCUUUCUUGAUCACUUCGGUGGUGGUGCAUGGCCGUUCUUAGUUGGUGGAGUGAUUUGUCUGGUUAAUUCCGUUAACGAUCGAGACCUCAGCCUGCUAGUGUAGUCGGCUGGAUUGCCUUUGGCGAUCCGUGAUUUCGACUUCUUAGAGGGACAAUCGACGCGCAGUCGAUGGAAGUUUGAGGCAAUAACAGGUCUGUGAUGCCCUUAGAUGUUCUGGGCCGCACGCGCGCUACACUGCUGGGCUCAGCGAGUUUUACUUGGCCGAGAGGCCCGGUUAAUCUUGUGAAAUCCCAGCGUGCUUGGGCUCGCCUCCUGCAACUGGAAGCGCCAACGAGGAAUUCCUAGUAGACGCAGGUCAUCAACCUGCAUCGAUUACGUCCCUGCCCUUUGUACACACCGCCCGUCGUUCCAUAAGAGUGAGGCAUCCGGUGAAUUCUCGGGAGAGCCUGGGCGUGGCCAGCAAUGGUCUGCUCGGGUUUGAACUUGCAUAAACUUGGUGCCUAUGAUUAGGG